rnacentral:ribozyme from 2 species
UUUGUAACUCCGCCUGUAGCCCCUCCAGAGGUUACUGCCGGUCCCAAGCCCGGAUAAAGGAGAAGGAUUGG